rnacentral:rRNA from 1 species
UAGUCCAUGCUGUAAACGAUGAUUACUAGGUGUGGGCUGGAAACAGUCCGUGCCGCAGUUAACACAAUAAGUAAUCCACCUGGGGAGUACGGCCGCAAGGCUGAAACUCAAAGGAAUUGACGGGGGCCCGCACAAGCAGUGGAGUAUGUGGUUUAAUUCGAAGCAACGCGAAGAACCUUACCAGGUCUUGACAUCGGAUGCAUACCUAAGAGAUUAGGGAAGUCCUUCGGGACAUCCAGAC